AGGGUGACGAGGUGGUGCAUGGUUGUCGUCAGCUCGUGUCGUGAGAUGUUGGGUUAAGUCCCGCAACGAGCGCAACCCUCGACCUUAGUUGCCAGCAUUCAGUUGGGCACUCUAAGGUGACUGCCGGCUAAAAGUCGGAGGAAGGUGGGGAUGACGUCAAAUCAUCAUGCCCCUUAUAACCUGGGCUACACACGUGCUACAAUGGGCGGUACAAAGGGUCGCGAACCCGCGAGGGGGAGCCAAUCCCAAAAAGCCGCUCUCAAGUUCGGAUUGCAGGCUGCAACUCGCCUGCAUGAAGCCGGAAUCGCUAGUAAUCGCGGAUCAGCAUGCCGCGGUGACUACGUUCCCGGGCCUU
rnacentral:rRNA from 1 species